UACAUGGGGUGCAAACGUUGCUCGGAAUUACUGGGCGUAAAGCGUGCGCAGGCGGUUAUGUAAGACAGGUGUGAAAUCCCCAGGCUUAACCUGGGAACUGCAUUCGAGACUGCAUUGCUAGAGUAUGGGAGAGGGAAGUGGAAUUUCCGGUGUAGCGGUGAAAUGCGUAGAUAUCGGAAGGAACAUCAGUGGCGAAAGCGACUUCCUGGACCAAUACUGACGCUCAUGUGCGAAAGCGUGGGAGCAAACAGG
rnacentral:rRNA from 1 species